rnacentral:rRNA from 1 species
GAUGAACGCUGGCGGCGUGCCUAAUACAUGCAAGUCGAGCGAACGGAGGAGAAGCUUGCUUCUCUGAUGUUAGCGGCGGGCGGGUGAGUAACACGUGGAUAACCUACCUAUAAGACUGGGAUAACUUCGGGAAACCGUAGCUAAUACCGGAUAAUAUUUUGAACCGCAUGGUUCAAAAGUGAAAGACGGUCUUGCUGUCACUUAUAGAUGGAUCCGCGCUGCAUUAGCUAGUUGGUAAGGUAACGGCUUACCAAGGCAACGAUGCAUAGCCGACCUGAGAGGGUGAUCGGCCACACUGGAACUGAGACACGGUCCAGACUCCUACGGGAGGCAGCAGUAGGGAAUCUUCCGCAAUGGGCGAAAGCCUGACGGAGCAACGCCGCGUGAGUGAUGAAGGUCUUCGGAUCGUAAAACUCUGUUAUUAGGGAAGAACAUAUGUGUAAGUAACUGUGCACAUCUUGACGGUACCUAAUCAGAAAGCCACGGCUAACUACGUG